UACGUAGGUGGCAAGCGUUGUCCGGAUUUAUUGGGUUUAAAGGGUGCGUAGGUGGGUUGGUAAGUCAGUGGUGAAAUCUCCGUGCUUAACAUGGAAACUGCCAUUGAUACUACUGAUCUUGAAUUUUCAGGAGGUAAGCGGAAUAUGUCAUGUAGCGGUGAAAUGCUUAGAUAUGACAUAGAACACCAAUUGCGAAGGCAGCUUACUACAGGAAUAUUGACACUGAUGCACGAAAGCGUGGGGAUCAAACAGG
rnacentral:rRNA from 1 species